AAUUGACCCCUCAGAGACUAUACGCCAGUCAUCUGAAAAAGAUGAAGAUAUAGUCCGAGCUGCGUAGCGAUACGCAGAGAUUGGCAGAAAUGUCCAAUCCUCCCGCUAGCAGCGGGAAGUAACAAAACUGUCGGUCUCUAUCUGCCAUGGGCGCAGGAAAUCUGCGAGGAUACUUCCUCAGUACGAGAGGACCAGGAAGUACGUGCCACUGGUGCUCCAGUUAUCGCGCCAGCGGUAAAAGCUGGGUAGCUAUGCACGGAAAGGAUAAGCGCUGAAGGCAUAUAAGCGCCAAGCCCCCCUCAAGACUAGAUUUCCCUCCCCGCAAGGGGACUAAGACACCUUGAAGACUACAAGGUUGAUAGGCCAGAUGUGUAAGACCCGCGAGGGUUUGAGCUUACUGGUACUAAUCUGUCGAAAGGCUUGACCAU
rnacentral:rRNA from 1 species